AUUGAACGCUGGCGGCAUGCCUUACACAUGCAAGUCGAACGGUAACAGGUCUUCGGAUGCUGACGAGUGGCGAACGGGUGAGUAAUACAUCGGAACGUGCCUAGUAGUGGGGGAUAACUACUCGAAAGAGUGGCUAAUACCGCAGGAGAUCUACGGAUGAAAGCAGGGGAUCGCAAGACCUUGUGCUACUAGAGCGGACGAUGGCAGAUUAGGUAGUUGGUGGGAUAAAAGCUUACCAAGCCGACGAUCUGUAGCUGGUCUGAGAGGACGAUCAACCACACUGGGACUGAGACACGGCCCAGACUCCUACGGGAGGCAGCAGUGGGGAAUUUUGGACAAUGGGCGCAAGCCUGAUCCAGCAAUGCCGCGUGCAGGAUGAAGGCCUUCGGGUUGUAAACUGCUUUUGUACGGAACGAAAAGCCCCGGGUUAAUACCCUGGGGUCAUGACGGUACCGUAAGAAUAAGCACCGGCUAACUACGUGCCAGCCGCCGCCGUAA
rnacentral:rRNA from 1 species